ACUUCGGGAGCCUGCCGUCUGUCCCGGGCUCAAGUUCCUGGCUGAGUCUGGCAGCCUUUGGACCCGCCCCGGGGACAGGAGAUAAGAAUCACCCCUGGGUCUGGGAUCUGCACCCGCGUCCUGGCGCCCGCGGGGGCGUGGGCGCGGCAGCCACCUCGCGGAAUUCGCAGCCAGGAGAUGGCCUUCUCCAGACAACCAGGAAAGACAGCCACAUGCAUCUGACGUCCUCACUUUUUGGCAGAAGAAAGGAGAUUUUCACUAACAGAUGGGAAAAGCGAUGAGAGAAAUUUCCGUCUGUAUAAAAGCUCUCAGUUGCAUUUGUGAAGAGUGGAGAUGGAGUCUGCCUCCUUUUCAGGGCCUUUGAGAAUAAACACAGCCUCUUGACCACAGCUUGAAACAUAACAUGGGCCUGAUGCAUAUUUGAAGAGUGAAUGAAUAUAUGUAUGAAUGAAUGAAGGCUGCAGAGAUAGAAUGAUGGUCUCCUGUAGAUCCUGACCAAGUAUGGCAGCACAGACAAAUUAGAGUCCCCCCUGGGAGUUGAAGAAUGCGGGGAAAUAGCUGCAGGGUUUGGCUUCCAGUUGGUCAACCCUGACGCUAAUUGCUCUAUGGGAGAGUUUCAGUCUCUGCUCUUGGCAAGAAACCGUAGGACAACAAAAGCUGGCAGCUGAGUGACUGUGUGAGGAGCAGGGCGGUGGGUCUGAUGGGUAUCUGGGGAGGGAAGGCUUCAACAGAGUUUCCUUUCCUGCUGGAACAUUCACGUCCUACCAACAACUAUAACAAAGUUUGAGUGGCCUCUGACCUACAGGCAAACCUCAUUUUCUUGUAUUUUUUUAUAAAUUGACCGUUUGUGACAACGCUGCCUCCAGCAAGUCUAUCGGCACCAUUUUUCCAACAGCAUUUGCUCACAUCAGGUCUCUGUGUCACAUUUUGGUAAUUCUUGCAGUUCUUUGAUCUUUUUCACUGUUACUACAUUUGUUGUGGUGAUCUGUGACCAGCGAUCUUUGAUAUUAUUAUUGUGAUUGUUUUGCAGCACCACAAACUGUGCCCAUGUAAGGUGGUUAACUUACCUGGUAAAUGUUGUGUGUAUUCUGACAGCUCUACCAGCCUUCUGUUCCCCUAUCUCUCUCCCUCUUCUCCGGCCUCCCUGUUCCCUGAGACACAACAAUGUUGGAAUUAGGCCAGUUAAUAAUCCUACAAUGGCCUCCUGGUGUUCAAGUGAAGAAUCUCACAUGAAUCAUUUCAAGUCAAAAGCUAGAAAUGAUUACUUAGUGAGGAAGCCGUGUCAAAAGCCGAGAUAGGCCGAAAGCUAGGCCUCUUGCUCCAGUUAGCCACGUUGUGAGUGCAGAGGAAACAUUCUUAAAGAAAACUAAAAAGGCUCCUCCAGUGAACGCACAAAUGAUAAGAAAGUCAAAGAGCUUUACUGCUGAUACGGAGAAAGUGUUAGUGGUCUGGAUAAAAGAUCAAACCAGCCUCAACAUCUCAUUCAGCCAAGGCGUAAUCCAGAGGAAGACCCUAACUCUCUUCAGUUCUAUGAAGGCUGAGAGAGGUGAGGAAACUGCAGAAGAAAAGUCUGAAGCCAGCAGUGGUUGUUUAUGAGGUUUCAGGAAGGAAACCAUCUCUAUAAAAGUGCAAGAUGCAGCAGCAAGUGCCGAUGUAGAAACUACAGCAGGUUAUUCAGAAGAUCUAGCUAAGAUAAUUCAUAAAGAUGGCUACACUAGAUAGAAGACUUUCAGUGUAGGUGAAACAGCUGUAUAUUGGAAGAAACCAUCUAGGACUUUCAUAGCUCGAGAGGAGAAGUCAGAGCCUGGCUUCGAAGCUUCAAAGGACAGACUGACUCUUUUGUUAUGGGCUAAUGCAGCUGAUUACUUGAGGUUUAAGCCAAUGCUCACUUACCAUCCCGACAAUCCUAGGGCCCUCCAGAUUUAUGCUGAAUCAACUCUGCCUGUGCUCUAUCAAUGGAACAACAAAGCCUGGAUGACAACACAUCUGCUAACAACAUGUUAACAGACUACUUUAAGGCCACUGAUGAGACUUACUGCUCAGAAAGGAUUCCUUUCAAAAUAGUACUGCUCAUUGACAAUGCACCUGGUCACCCGAGAGCUCUGAUGGAGAUGGUCAGAGAGAUUCGCAUUGUUUCCGUGCCUGCUAGCACAGACAGCAUCCAUUCUGCAGCCUACAGGUCAAGGAGUCAUCUUGACUUUCAAGUCCUAUUAGUUAAGAAAUACACUUCAUAAGGCUAUAGCCACCAUACAUAGUGAUUCCUCUGGUGGAUCUAGGCAAAAUACAUCAAAAAGGUUCUGGAAAGGAUUCACCAUUCUAAACGCCAUUAAGAACAUCCAUGAUUCAUGGGAAGAGGUCAAAAUAUCAAUAUUAACAGGAGUUUGGAAGAAGUUGAUUCCAACCCUCAUGGCAGACUUUGAGGGGUUCAAGACUUCAGAGGAGGAAGGAACUGCAGAUGUGGUAGAAAUAGCAAGAGAACUAGAAUUAGAGUGGGGAGCCUGAAGAUGGGACUGAAUGGCUGCAAUCUCAGGACAAAACUUUCAACAGAUGAGCAGUGGCUUCUUAUGGAUGAGUGAAGAAUGUGGUUUCUUGAGAUACAACCCAGUCCUGGUGACAAUGCUGUCAAGAUCGUCAAAAUGACAACAAAGGAUUUAGGAUACGACAUGAACUUAGUUGAUUACAGCAGCAGCAAGUUUUGAGAAGGUUAACUCCAAUUUGAAAGAAACUCUACUGCAGCUAAAAUGCUAUCAAACAGCAUUGAGUGCUACGGAGAAUUUGUUUAUUAAAGGAAAAGUCAACUGACGAGGCAAACUUCAUUGUUUCCUUAUUUUAAGAAAUUGCCACAGUCACCUCAGCCUUCAGCAACCACCACCCUGAUCAGUCAGCAGCCAUUGAUAUCAAGGCAGGAUCCCCCACCAGCAGAAAGAGGAUGGCUUGCUGAAGGCUCAGAUGAUGGUUAACAUUUUUAAGCAAUCAGAUAUUUUUAAUUAAGGUAUGUACAUUGGUUUUUUUGGACAUAAUGAUGUUGCACACUUAAUGGACUUGAAACCGUGUAAACAUAACUUUUAUAUGCUUUGGGAAACCAAAAAAUUUGUGUGACUUGCUUUAUUGCAAUGUUUGCUUUAUUGUGCAGUCUGAAACCAAACCCGCAGUGUCUCUGAGGUCUGCCUGUAUUGGAUGAACGCAAAGUGGCUGAAACACCCCUUAUUUUCUGUAUACCUUAUGUGACUUCUCCAACUAUUAAAUGUCCUGUAUUUGUUUUAGUGGCA